rnacentral:rRNA from 1 species
UACAGAGGGUGCAAGCGUUGUUCGGAAUUACUGGGCGUAAAGAGCGCGCAGGCGGUCGGAUUAGUCGCGUGUGAAAGCCCCCCGGCUCAACUGGGGGAGGGUCACGCGAUACUGUUCGACUCGAAGGCAGGAGAGGGAAGUGGAAUUCCCGGUGUAGUGGUGAAAUGCGUAGAGAUCAGGAAGAACACCGGUGGCGAAGGCGCUCUGCUAGGCCGCAACUGACACUGAGGG